rnacentral:rRNA from 1 species
UACGUAGGGUGCGAGCGUUGUCCGGAAUUAUUGGGCGUAAAGAGCUCGUAGGCGGCCUGUUGCGUCCGCUGUGAAAACUCGGGGCUUAACCCCGAGCCUGCAGUGGAUACGGGCAGACUAGAGGUAGGUAGGGGAGAAUGGAAUUCCCGGUGUAGCGGUGAAAUGCGCAGAUAUCGGGAGGAACACCGGUGGCGAAGGCGGCUCUCUGGGACGGUACUGACGCUGAGACGCGAAAGCGUGGGGAGCGAACAGG